rnacentral:rRNA from 1 species
GAUGAACGCUGGCGGCGUGCUUAACACAUGCAAGUCGAACGGAAAGGCUCCUGCUUGCCGGGGUACUCGAGUGGCGAACGGGGGCGUAACACGUGGGUAAUCUGCCCUGCACUUCGGGAUAAGCCUGGGAAACUGGGUCUAAUACCGGAUAGGACCACAUUUUGGGUGGUGUGGUGGAAAGUUUUUCGGUGUGGGAGGAUCUCGCGGCCUAUCACCUGUUUGGUGGGGAACUGGCGUACCAAGGCGUAGACGGGGAGCCGGCCUGAGCGAGUGUAGGGACGGAUUGGGCGUGUGCGGGGGGCAAGAGUCGGGCAGGAGGGAGAAGGGGGGAAGAUGGGACAAUGGGAGCAAGCGUGAGGGAGGGAGGCCGCGGGGGGGAUGACGGCCUUUGUGUUGUAAACACAGUUGGCUAGGGACAAAGCGUUUUUGUGACGGUACCUGGAGAAGAAGCACCGGCUAACUACGUG